rnacentral:rRNA from 1 species
CCUACGGGUGGCAGCAGUGAGGAAUAUUGGUCAAUGGACGAGAGUCUGAACCAGCCAAGUAGCGUGCAGGAUGACGGCCCUAUGGGUUGUAAACUGCUUUUAUAUGGGAAUAAAAUGUUUCACGUGUGAGGUUUUGUAUGUACCGUAUGAAUAAGGAUCGGCUAAUUCCGUGCCAGCAGCCGCGGUAAUACGGAGGGUCCGGGCGUUAUCCGGAUUUAUUGGGUUUAGAGGGAGCGUAGGUGGAUUGUUAAGUGAGUUGUGAAAUUUUGCGGCUCAACCGUAAAAUUGCAGUUGAAACUGGCAGGCUUGAGUACAGUAGAGGUGUGCAGAAUUCGUGGUGUAGCGGUGAAAUGCUUAGAUAUCACGAAGAACUCCGAUUGCGAAGGCAGCUCACUGGACUGCAACUGACACUGAGGCUCGAAGGUGUGGGUAUCAAACAGGAUUAGAUACCCUAGUAGUC